UUGCGGUUAAAAAGCUCGUAGUUGGAUUUCUGCCGAGGACGACCGGUCCGCCCUCUGGGUGAGCAUCUGGCUCGGCCUGGGCAUCUUCUUGGAGAACGUAUCUGCACUUGACUGUGUGGUGCGGUAUCCAGGACUUUUACUUUGAGGAAAUUAGAGUGUUUCAAGCAGGCAUACGCCUUGAAUACAUUAGCAUGGAAUAAUAAGAUAGGACCUCGGUUCUAUUUUGUUGGUUUCUAGAGCUGAGGUAAUGAUUAAUAGGGAUAGUUGGGGGCAUUCGUAUUUAACUGUCAGAGGUGAAAUUCUUGGAUUUGUUAAAGACUAACUUAUGCGAAAGCAUUUGCCAAGGAUGUUUUCAUUAAUCAAGAACGAAAGUUAGGGGAUC
rnacentral:rRNA from 1 species